AACGGUGGCUAAUACCGCAUAACGUCGCAAGACCAAAGAGGGGGACCUUCGGGCCUCUUGCCAUCAGAUGUGCCCAGAUGGGAUUAGCUUGUUGGUGAGGUAACGGCUCACCAAGGCGACGAUCCCUAGCUGGUCUGAGAGGAUGACCAGCCACACUGGAACUGAGACACGGUCCAGACUCCUACGGGAGGCAGCAGUGGGGAAUAUUGCACAAUGGGCGCAAGCCUGAUGCAGCCAUGCCGCGUGUAUGAAGAAGGCCUUCGGGUUGUAAAGUACUUUC
rnacentral:rRNA from 1 species